ACUCUGCCGCACAUGGUCCAGCCACGAACAGAACGCCGAGCAUUAAAAGCUGCUGGCCUUUGGUCGCACGACCCGUUCGACGCCAAAAAAGAGGGCGCGUGGCGUUCAGCCAUAGCUCCGGCUCUUUUGCAAAAUAAAAAACCCUUCGGUUUUCUAGAAACACCAAAUAAAUACAGACCACCAUGAUGGUACAGUACUUGUGUUGAUUUAUUUUUCAUAUAGGCCCUCAAAGUAAUUUUUAUUUUUUACGCGAAGAAGAAGAAAUUCGAUAGAGCAGGAGAUCGACUCCGCCGCGCCGCAGAGGCCCGAGCCGCGGGCCCGCGCUCUUGGAGCGCCCCCUCUCUCCCCUGUUCUCUCAGGGUGCUCCUAUGCCGGCCGCUGCCGCAGGACAUCGGGCGGUGCCCCUGCGUCAUAGCCAGGGAGGCUGCCUCGGGAGCUAGAGGAGUCCCGCUCUACUCACUCUACACCAAUGAGGGGUAGGGACGGCUUGACCGGAAGCUGCCGGUGGCGCGGCAACGGAGGAGCAGGGGGAGGUUGGAGUUCAUAAUGGCGCAGAACCAGGACGACAUGUACUAUCAUCAAGAUAUUUCAGGGCUAAAGUGUAUCGAUUACACAUGCUGCUAAAUGUUGUGCGAUCGGGCAGUCACAUCAUGUUGUUUUGUACUUGAGUCUCAUAUGAUGCACUGCCAGGGGACCACUUGAUUUUCCUUGGAUCAUCUUGUUUGCAAGUUGCAGAUUGAUACAAGCUGUUAUUGCCUUAUUGGUCCAUGCAUAAUGCGCAUCUGU